rnacentral:rRNA from 1 species
GGACGGAGGCCGUGAAUCCUGGCCGGCGAAUUCAAAACCGAUGGGCGGCCGUUUCGACGUGUCGCCGGUCGUUUUGAUGUUUCGCCGGCUGACGACAUCGCGACCCGUUGGGUGCGAAUUACGCGUACGCGCGAUCAGUUCGUACGGGCUAGGACGUUUCGGCGUUCUAGCGCGGACGAUACGCCGCGGUCGAUCGAAUUCGCUUGCCCGACGGUACGACAGAAACGGGUGUUCGACGCGUCGCAAGGCGCGUCGCGACCGGUCUGCGAUGAUUUUUCGGUUCUCUUUCCGACCCGUCUUGAAACACGGACCAAGGAGUCUAACGUGUGCGCGAGUCGCGGGGUUUCGCAGAACGUUUGACGCGUGUCCGCGUGGCACGCCGAUACGUUCGCGUUACUGUUGCGCUAAACCCGUACAAGGCGUAAUGAAAGUAAAAACGACACAACGUGGGAAGAUGGCGUUUCGAGUACACUGUCUUGCGCUUCCGGGCGCAGGCCGAACGCCCGCAUUCCCAGGGCGUCCUAGUUGGUUCGUCUGCGCGUGUUUAACCUUUCGGGGGGCGCGCGCGUGGUCGAGCCGGGGCGCACUUUUAGCGUACACGUUGGUACCCGAAAGAUGGUGAACUAUGCCUGGCCAGGAUGAAGUCAGGGGAAACCCUGAUGGAGGUCCGCAGCGAUUCUGACGUGCAAAUCGAUCGUCUGAGCUGGGUAUAGGGGCGAAAGACUAAUCGAACCAUC